UAGUCUAAAGUAAUACAUUAGUUUAAAUAAACUUAAGGUUUAGAUAUUUUGGAGAUCUUCAUCUGCCAAUUUUACGAACUUUCUGUGUUUAGUAAGUGUGAUUUUAUAGUCAUUUCAGCAAAAGUAUAAAUGCUGUGCUUUUUUAUAUUAAUGUUAAAUAAUGGCCUGUUUCUUAUUUAAGUUGCACAUUUGUCUCCCUUGUUUUAAAUUCAAUUUCUGUAUUUGUUAGCCCUUCACCUUGCGCACCAGUCAAUUUAUUUUCUUCAGUUAGUUGAUUGAUGUUGGAGUUAAGCAUGACAUUACAAUUCAUCAACUUUCUCAUGUUUUGUUCAUUGAUGACUUCAAAGGCAAUGUAGUAAUAUGUUGUCAGACCCUAUCAAUUUGUUUUCUGCACCUCUCGUCAUGGGAAGAUUUGGACUGCUGCAGUUUUCCUCUUUGCUUAUCAAGUCCCCUCAUUACAGUAGAACCAGACUAGAACUCUUAUGAUUUUGCCUCUAGCUCUAAUAAGUUUUGCUUUUGUUUUUUUGUUAUGUUUUUUUUUUGCUAAGAAUUUUUGUCAGUAGUUUUGCUAUUCAGUUAAGCUGUUGCUCCAUGAGCAUUUUCCAUUUUUCUGAAAGAACGUAGCAAGUUACAAAUUUCCAACCAGGAAAUAAACGAAUAAGGUCAGAUCUAUUACGAAAAAUUGAAAAAAAUGAAGAUAAUCAUGUGAGGCAAGAUAAAACAUAUAUAAUAUAUUCUGGAGAUCUUCCAAUACCAGUGUUUAUGAACUUUCUGGGCUUAGUGAGAUUGAAAUUAGAGUGGUUGUUCUAAUAGUCUAGCUACUCUAGUUUUCUAAUCCCGAGUAAAAUAAUUUUUCAUUUCUUCCAUUAAGUUGCAAAUUUGGGUCCCUGCUUGUAAAUCCAAAUUCCCGGUUUUUAUUGUUCAGCUUGCAUCAAUUUUUUUUUGUUGUUCAGUUAAUUGGUUGAUGUUGCCAUGCUAUAAAAAUUCUUUUCAACCAUGAUACUACCAUCUAUUGGUUUAACUUUCUUAUAUUUGGAUCAUUGAUAACUUCAAAGGCAAUAUGUAUGUGUUGCCUACCCUUGCUAAAUUUUCUUUCACACUCUCAAAUUGGGAAGCUCUGGACUUCGAUGAUUGAUUCUUCUCAAUGCAGUGGAGUCGCACUAGAAAUCUAUGGUUCUACCACUAGCUCUGAUCAGUUUUUCAGACUUAUUUUUAGGGCUAAGUU
rnacentral:lncRNA from 1 species